GUUGUUAUUGAUGAUUUCAACCUAUUGCGUCUUUUCACAGUUAUAGUUGUUGACAAUACAUUUGCUUUUGACAAAGAAAUUGUUUGGUUGCAUUUGAAACAAAACAAGCAAUGAAAAUAUCAGAAACAAUACAACCGAUGUGAAGAUGCUCGCAUUUUGGUAGGAUAAACUGAAUCACGGAGUAUGCAGCUGACUAGACAGCUCGUCUAGUUCUAAAAUAAAUGUUCUAGAACUAAAAUAAUUGAUAAUUAAGCCGCCGUUUGUUUAUCGCGAAGGGACGCGGCUUUCGGUCAGUUUCCCGCCAUUCUCGCUUAACCUUGACGUUCGCUCACGCCCACGUACGAACGUAAAACGAAUAUUGUGUAAUAUUUAUUUACAUCAGAAUAGAAUUCACGUAUUUUUGCAUAAACCCCGUCAGAGGACUUUGAACUAAAUGUUUUGGAACCCGAAAAUAUGUACCUAUAUUGAUCUCACCUUGAUUUUCGGAUUCGGUCAGGGUUACGCGACUUUAGAAAUUACGUGCACGCAUCAAUAAUUUUGUUCACCAUACAAAAGAACGAAAAUUCCUGACAAUUGAAAAAUGAGAGUAUGAUAACAAAGGUAUAAUAACGAUGUAUUUUUACCCUGAUCCCUCUGCGGUUGGUCGGUGGGUUCGAACCGCGAGCGUCGCGCCCCCGCCGCGGCCGGCCGGUAGUCGCGUGGCAGCGCCGGCGCAGGGUACGACGGGACUGACGGCAGCGGCGCAGACGACUUCACGAACCCUUCUAGCACCUGGGAAGUUCACUGGAUAUUAUACCCACCCAUCAAACCUUUAUCUCACAAGGGGUGGGUAGAGGUACAACCUAGGCAUUUAUUUUUCGAUAUGUGUGUUCCAUCCCAUGAUGGGAUAGGGGACUUUCCCACCCAUCCUAUUAUUUGCUGGUAGUAAGAUAUAUUUAAUAUCCACCCGGAUAGCGACCACCGUACACAAGGUCUUAAAACCCGCCAUAGUGGCCCACGUAAGUGUGUCGCGUUCCGGGAUCAGCCCAUGUUCAUCCGGUUCCAACAGGCCGGCAUAAUUAUGUCGAUUGCUUAGGGGUAAUCAUCUCUCGUCAGUCGACAUUCUAUUGGACCCCACUCAACUUACCAUCAGGUACAGAAGGGUUUCUUGCCGAGUCCGUUUAAAAAAAUCAUAUAAAUAAAACUCAUCAUGACAGCCUGCGUCCUCAAUCAAACCUUUCUGUAAUACACACAUUAUUACUCUUCUCCCUGACAGGCUUCCUGUCAGUUUUGCUGUCAGUUCCGCCGAGCGAGAAGUCGUAGUGCGACAUAUCUUCAGACGCGUAUAUAUCGUCAUCCUCCGCCUCGAAUGCGCCGACGCCGAACGCUUGACCGCGGAUCGACACCUACAAAACAUCGGAUUAGUUAUAAAAAAUAUAAUAAAUAUCUUACUAUUCUUUGGGAAUCCGCCAACGCCAGUAUUUCGUUGAAGUAAAAAGUAACCAAUGAAAAAAGCAGCUUGCAGUGGCGAAGGGUAUAUUGGAUGCGAUUCCUGUCGGCUUCCCUUUUGUAACUCGUUUUUUAAUCAUUAGAACGAGUUGCAGAUCGCAUUUGUGCAUAUUAUUAGCACGUAUUCAUUGCAUAAUUAUUUCUUAUGUUUACUCGAAUAUCAGACAUUAAAAUUAAAGUACUUUU
rnacentral:lncRNA from 1 species